UACGAGGGGGGCGAGCGUUGUUCGGAAUUAUUGGGCGUAAAGAGCGUGUAGGCGGCCAAACAGGUCAGCUGUGAAAACUCGAGGCUCAACCUCGAGACGUCGGUUGAAACCGUUUGGCUAGAGUCCGGAAGAGGAGAGUGGAAUUCCCGGUGUAGUGGUGAAAUGCGUAGAUAUCGGAAGGAACACCCGUGGCGAAAGCGGCUCACUGGACCAUAACUGACGCUGAGACACGAAAGCGUGGGUAGCAAACAGG
rnacentral:rRNA from 1 species